UACGUAGGUGACAAGCGUUGUCCGGAUUUACUGGGCGUAAAGAGCGCGCAGGCGGUCGAUCAAGUCGAGUGUGAAAGCCCCCGGCUCAACGGGGGAGGGUCAUUCGAAACUGAUCGACUUGAAGGCAGGAGAGGGUAGUGGAAUUCCCGGUGUAGUGGUGAAAUGCGUAGAUAUCGGGAGGAACACGAGUGGCGAAGGCGCCUACCUGGUCUGUUCUUGACGCUGAGGCGCGAAAGCUAGGGGAGCCAACGGG
rnacentral:rRNA from 1 species